CCACUUUGUUCUGAAGGCUGGAUUGAACGUUAUCCCCUCGUUAGUAGCUCCUUGAAUGCUGUAUCCAUAGCUCUGCAUUUUCGGUCUUUCUCAUAUCUGAUCUUGGUGUGAUGUGGAACAGAACCUAACUCUUUGGGGAGCUCAUAUUGUUUUUGGACAUUGAAGGAGAUGACAUCCAGAGAGACCUGCAGAAAUCCACCAUGGGCAUAUAUGUCAUCAACAAGGAGGGUGGAGAAAUUGGAGCUCAUGAUGACAUUGGCAUUUAUGUUGAAGGAGUAAUCAUUCUGGACAACAUUGGAUCUGUAGCCCAAGCAUGUGCAAUGAUGCUGGGAGUCAUGUAUGUACUGAACAUGGCUUACCCCAAAGAGCUGAAAUACUCCUAUGAAUUCAUUCAGAAAGUGCUCUUGCAAAUGGAUGGUGAAAGGCUUUCCCCCAAAGUCCUUGGACUAAAGAACAAAAUCAUUGCUGGACUGUAGGAUUUCUUCAGCCGCUCUUGUGAACACUGCUAAGGCGUUACGGUGUUUCAAACUGAAAAACAGAGUGAAUGGUGGACUGUAAUAUUCACACAGCCACUGGUGUGAACAUUUAAAACUGUACAAUGGAUUUUGUGGAAUAUUCACCUGAAAUAAAAAUUGCAAUCCUGGAAAUAAGAGCACAAAAUUCAUCCAUCCACUACCGCCAUAUGAAUAUUAGAAGUUAAGCGCCUUGAGAGGAACAGUUGGUGGUGGCUGUGCCAUUAAACCAUUGCAUAAGAAGAGGACACAACAAGAUGUUAAAAGAGCUCUGGUCAAAGUUCAAACGAUGGAGA